UAGAAUGCUGCUGCUGCUCAACGGAGGACAGCCGUCCUGUGUGCGCGUACAGCUUGCCAGCCUGCUGUGUGCGCGUCCAGCUUGCCAGCCUGCUGCCCCGUCUGUAGAUAUACAAAGGCAGACACACGGGUCAGCAACGGGUCUCCCAAACUACAAGUACCAUCAUCACCACCACCACCACCACCACCAUGAGUACAACGAUGGUGUGUAAGUUGAGGCCUGUAAGCUAAUAUGGAUGUUGCCGUUACUCCCUCUGUCUGUGUUCUGUGCGAACAUUAAGAGAUCGAUUCCCAGCAACUAUUUCAUACGGUUUUCCCAGCGGCUGGAGAGUGCUGUGAACUACGUCGUUAGGUUUUGACCCGCUUGCCAGGUAGCCUCAAUGAGCAGUAUUGCUGGCUAGCAUGUCGUGUUCGAGACACCUGCCAGCUGAUUGCAGAUGGAUUGGGUGUGCGCGUGUGUGUGUGCACGCGCGCGCACGCGUGUGUGUACAAUCAUGUGUAUGUGCGUGUCUUAUGGUUGUGUGUCAGUUUGUGAACGUGUAAGUGCUUUGCGGCACGCGCGCACACACAUUCAUGUUGGCUGUUGACAUCUUGUCUACGAGCUACUAUCCGUGGUCGCUUGCACGUGCCAGUCCAAUGUGCAUGCAGUCUUUCAUGGAUUCCACUGUUUACCCACCGUGCCAGAUGCUUGUGUGUGUGUGUGUGUGUGUGUGUGUGUGUGUGUGUGUGUGUGUGUGGUGUGUGCCUUGCACACCUUGGCAGCCAACGCCUUGCUUUUCUCUAACCCCGUACUGGCUACAUUUCUCGUGUA